rnacentral:rRNA from 1 species
AUGGCAGCGUUCAACCAGUUCUACAACCUAGUAGGCAGUAAUUUUAGAGCCCUGAACACUAUGGUGGUUGCAUUACUGCCCAAAAAGGGCGGAGCAGUGUCUAUUAACGACUACCGGCCAAUCAGCCUCAUACAUUCCAUAGCAAAGUUGAUCUCCAAAGUUCUGUCCCUUAGGCUGGCCAACGUGAUCCACACGCUCAUCUCACCAGCACAGUCGGCAUUUCUCCGGACAAAAUGCAUCCACGAUAGCUUCCUAUAUGUUCAAAACUGCAUCAAGGCCUUACAUAGACGGAAAACACCGGCUCUGCUUCUUAAGUUAGACAUCGCCAAGGCCUUCGAUAAUGUGUCUUGGGAGUACAUCCUAGAGAUGCUGCAACAACGGGGUUUUAGCACGCGGUGGAGAGAUUGGAUAUCCUUGCUGUUGUCCUCCUCCUCGCCGUCCUUCCUCCUUAACAGAGUACCAGGAAAAAAGAUCUGA